AGCUCCAAUAGCGUAUAUUAAAGUUGUUGCGGUUAAAAAGCUCGUAGUUGGAUUUCUGUUGAGGACGACCGGUGUGCACUUCGUGUAUUAUCAGGUUCGGUCUCGGCAUCCUCUUGGGGAACGUUUGGACUUUAUUGGCCAGGCGGGAUUCAAGACUUUUACUUUGAGGAAAUUAGAGUGUUCACGGCAGGCAAGCGCUUUGAAUACAUUAGCAUGGAAUAAUAAUAUAGGACCUUCGUUCUAUUUUGUUGGUUUCUAGAACUUGG
rnacentral:rRNA from 1 species